rnacentral:rRNA from 1 species
GGGGAAUAUUGCACAAUGGAGGAAACUCUGAUGCAGCGACGCCGCGUGAGUGAAGAAGUAAUUCGUUAUGUAAAGCUCUAUCAGCAGGGAAGAUAGUGACGGUACCUGACUAAGAAGCUCCGGCUAAAUACGUGCCAGCAGCCGCGGUAAUACGUAGGGGGCAAGCGUUAUCCGGAUUUACUGGGUGUAAAGGGAGCGUAGACGGCACGGCAAGCCAGAUGUGAAAGCCCGGGGCUCAACCCCGGGACUGCAUUUGGAACUGCUGAGCUAGAGUGUCGGAGAGGCAAGUGGAAUUCCUAGUGUAGCGGUGAAAUGCGUAGAUAUCGGGAGGAACACCAGUGGCGAAGGCGGCCUACUGGGCACCAACUGACGCUGAGGCUCGAAAGUGUGGGUAGCAAACAGGAUUAGAUACCCUGGUAGUCCACACCGUAAACGAUGAUUACUAGGUGUUGGAGGAUUGACCCCUUCAGUGCCGCAGUUAACACAAUAAGUAAUCCACCUGGGGAGUACGACCGCAAGGUUGAAACUCAAAGGAAUUGACGGGGGCCCGCACAAGCAGUGGAGUAUGUGGUUUAAUUCGACGCAACGCGAAGAACCUUACCAAGUCUUGACAUCCCUUGACGAACAUAGAAAUAUGUUUUCUCUUCGGAGCAAGGAGACAGGUGGUGCAUGGUUGUCGUCAGCUCGUGUCGUGAGAUGUUGGGUUAAGUCCCGCAACGAGCGCAACCCCUAUCCUUAGUAGCCAGCAGUAAGAUGGGCACUCUAGGGAGACUGCCAGGGAUAACCUGGAGGAAGGUGGGGAUGACGUCAAAUCAUCAUGCCCCUUAUGACUUGGGCUACACACGUGCUACAAUGGCGUAAACAAAGUGAAGCGAAGUCGUGAGGCCAAGCAAAUCACAAAAAUAACGUCUCAGUUCGGAUUGUAGUCUGCAACUCGACUACAUGAAGCUGGAAUCGCUAGUAAUCGCGAAUCAGAAUGUCGCGGUGAAUACGUUCCCG